GGAGGUAGGUACAAUAAAUCACAAUGCGGGACUAUCAGUCUUGCAAUUGGAUUGAGAACAAUGUACAACUCUUAUCGAUAAGCCAUUGGAGGGCAAGUCUGGUGCCAGCAGCCGCGGUAAUUCCAGCUCCAAUAGCGUAUAUUAACGUUGUUGCAGUUAAAAAGCUCGUAGUUGAAGUGUGGGUGAUCGCUGUUGUGAGACUUCGGUCUCUCGACAGUAAGUCACCCCCUUCCAGUAUCCAGUAGUGGGUAUUCAGUUCAGUUACUUACUAUUGUGUGUUGGUCCUUUACUGUGAGAAAAUUAGAGUGUUCAAAGCAGGCGUUUGCUUGAAUAGAUUAGCAUGGAAUAAUAAUUGAAGGCUUUCGUGUUCGAUUUGAUUGGUUUGUUCAUGGAAGCAAGGUUAAAAGGAACAGUUGGGGGUAUUCAUAUUCACUAGUUAGAGGUGAAAUUCUCGGAUUUAUGGAAGAUGAACA
rnacentral:rRNA from 1 species